UACGUAGGGCGCAAGCGUUGUCCGGAAUUAUUGGGCGUAAAGAGCUCGUAGGCGGCUUGUCACGUCGGUUGUGAAAGCCCGGGGCUUAACCCCGGGUCUGCAGUCGAUACGGGCUAGCUAGAGUGUGGUAGGGGAGAUCGGAAUUCCUGGUGUAGCGGUGAAAUGCGCAGAUAUCAGGAGGAACACCGGUGGCGAAGGCGGGUCUCUGGGCCGAUACUGACGCUGAGGAGCGAAAGCGUGGGGAGCGAACAGG
rnacentral:rRNA from 1 species